UACAUCCGCUAGUAUAAAUCGAAUCGAACCCUGGCCGCCCGCGUGGCAGGCGAGCAUUCUACCACUGAACCACCGAUGC